AUUGAACGCUGGCGGCAGGCCUAACACAUGCAAGUCGAACGAGUGGCGGACGGGUGAGAAAUGUCUGGGAAACUGCCCGAGGGAGGGGGAUAACUACUGGAAACGGUAGCAAAUACCGCAUACCAUCGGAUGUGCCCCGUUGGGUGUAGCGUGAAGGGGGGGUAACGGCUCACCUAGGCGGAUAUCCCUAGCUGGUCUGAGAGGAUGACCAGCCACACUGGAACUGUGACACGGUCCAGACUCCUACGGGAUGCAGCAGUGGGGAAUAUUGCACAAUGGGCGCAAGCCUGAUGCAGCCAUGCCGCGUGUAUGAAGAAGGCCUUCGGGUUUUAAAGUACUUUCAGCGGGGAGGCGUUACCCGCAGAAGAAGCAUCGGCUAACUACGUGCCAGCAGCCGCGGUAAUUC
rnacentral:rRNA from 1 species